GGCAGAGUGCUAUGUAGAGAGAGAGGCAAAACGGCGGGCAAUAUCGAUAGAGUACCAGACAAUUUGGCAAUGGAGAGGCAGGUGGCAAUCGUUGGAGCUGGAAUAAGUGGCCUCCUUGCCUGUAAGUACACCUUGUCGAAAGGUUUCCAUCCAGUUGUUUUCGAGUCCCAAAGGAGCGUUGGAGGGGUAUGGACCCAAACGCUGGAGACUAUAAGGCUCCAAACCCCCAAGUCAGUUUAUCAGUUCUCAGAUUUUCCUUGGCCAUCUUCAGUCACAGAUGAUUUCCCUACCCAACACGACGUCUUCGAUUAUGUUAAGGCGUAUGCACAACAUUUUGACUUGCUUAAGCACAUCAAAUUCAACACCAAAGUUGCUGGUAUUGAGUAUGAAGGCCCCCCUGAUGAAGAGAUGCGAUCUUGGAGUUUAUGGGGUGGCACUGGUGAGCCCUUUAGCUCCAAAGGGAAAUGGAAGGUCAUCGUGGAAGACUUGGAAAGCCUUUCAACUGAGGUAUUUCUCAUCAUAAUUCAGAGGAUAAAUAGUGAUUUAUAUGACAAAAAAAAAGUUAUCAUAAUUCUGAGACUUGUGAAAUUCAUUGCAGAUUUACCUAGUGGACUUUGUAAUCAUUUGUGUGGGGCGGUUCAGUGGUCUGCCAAACAUUCCAGAAUUCCCCCCAAACAAGGGCCCGGAAGCAUUUCGUGGUAAGGUAAUACAUUCCAUGGACUAUGCUGCCAUGGAUAAUGAAAAGGCUGCUGAGUUCAUCAAAGGCAAACGAGUCAUUGUCGUUGGGUUCCAGAAAUCUGCAUUGGACAUUGCAAUGGAGUGCACUGUUGCAAAUGGUAAUUAGAAUCUAAUCUGAACUGCUGGAAUUCAUAGUUCUUUCUACAUUAGACCAAGAGAAGUUUGCUCUUACCUCUUCGAGAACCGAUAAAUCUUGUGGACUUCAUAUGGAAAGGAACUUGUGAUCAUGUCUCAAUGUGUUUGGUAUCAUUACAAGGAAAUAAAAUUUCUUUAAAUUUCAUUGAUUUACAGGGGUGGAAAAUCCAUGCACAGUUUUCUACAGGACUGCACACUGGAAUGUCCCGGAUUAUCUUCCCUGGGGAUUUCAACUUGGAUAUAUGUAUUUUAACCGGUUCUCAGAACUAAUGGUUCAUAAGCCUGGUGAAGGGCUUCUACUUGGUCUCUUAGCUACAAUUCUGGCACCGCUGGUAACAUUUCUCAUCAUUCUUUUCACCUUGCUAUGUUCUGUUUUACUUUUGAUCAAUGAGCAAUGUGCUUGCUCAGAAGCAAACGACAGUUUAUCUGUGAUUUCUAUAUUUGGAUGGAACCUGCAAACAUCAGAUGACACCAUCCGUUUAUUUUCUUCACUCCUAUUGUUUCUUCCACUGAUUACUUGUAAUUAAAAAACAGAGAUGGUCAUAUUCAAAAUUUGUUGAAAGUGAUAUCAAAAGGAAGCUACGUUUAGCAAAGCAUGGCAUGGUACCCACCCAUAGCUUCCUCCACGAUAUCAGUUCUUGCUUAAUCUCAACGGUCCCAGAAAAAUUCUAUGACAAAGUUGAAGAAGGAAAAAUCAAACUGAAAAAGGCUCCCAGCUUUAGUUUCUGUCACAAUGGCGUUCUGGUGGAAGGUGAGACUACACCUGUUGAGGCAGACGUGGUCAUCAUGGCCACUGGAUUCAAGGGGGAGAAAAAGCUCAGAGACAUUUUCGUGUCCCAAACCUUUCAGGACUACAUAGCUGGAUCACCUGAUGCUGCAAUUCCACUCUACAGGUUACUUUUUUUUCUUUGGGCAGUCAAGGAACGAUUGUUCUGUAAUUACUUAGAUCAAUUCUAAUUAAAUUUCUUGUUUGAUCACUGAUCAGGGAGUGCAUUCAACCUCAUAUACCCCAACUAGCUGUGAUCGGAUUCUCUGAGAGUGUGUCGAAUUUGUACACCUCAGAGAUAAGAUGCCGAUGGCUAGCAGAACUUCUUGAUGGCACAUUCAAGCUGCCUAGCAUCAAAGAGAUGGAAAAAGAUGUGACAAAAUGGGAUGAAUACCUGAAACGAUACUCGGGUGAAUACUAUCGUAGGAAAUGCAUUGGUGCUCUUCAUGUUUGGUAUAAUGAUCAACUCUGCAAAGAUAUGGGAUGGAACCCCAGGCGGAAGAAGGGAUUCUUUGCUGAACUUUUUGAGCCUUAUGGUCCCUUGGAUUAUGUCCCCUCUUCAGCUGCCUCUUAGCCAUGGGUUUUCUCAUCUUUCAUCAUCUUGUUUUAUGAAUUUCAUUCCUGCUUGUCCCCCAUUUUCAACAGAAUGAGUUUGUUUUGCUUCAUGAUACUUAAUACGAAGCACGGUGUAAGAAUAAUUGAUUUCUUAUUUUGGGUAAUAAUAAGAAUAAGAAAUAUUAAUACUAUUUUAUUUAAAUUAUAUUUAUUAAAAAGGUUAUAUAUUUUUUAAAUUGAGAAUUUCUUCACUUAUUGUCAAUUGAUUUUAAUUUAGACUUGUUUUACUCUUUUUUCUAGUAAUUUUUUUUCGUUGAUUCAUGUUACGUAAUUAUAAGUUGGUGAUUUUCACAUGUAAUAAAAGUAUUGAAUUUAUCACAAUUUUAUAUUUCUUGAAUUAAGAGUAUUUUUAAUAUAUAAAUAUGAUAAAUCUUGUCAAAUAUUAUUAAUAAAUUUUAAAUAAGAUAUUCGGAAAAAAAUUAAAAAAAGAUAGGGAAUAUUCAAUGAAUAUUUCCCACCAGGGAACCGGUACCUACUAUCGAAGGCCAUAAAUCACAUUGAACCGAUGAGGCCCAAUGAGAAUUUCUCGAACGAGAACCAUGCCUAGGGAGACGUAUGCUUGUUUGCUUGUCUUUACCUCAAUACGCCUUUUUAGCCAUAACAUUUGCAUGGGUUUAUUAUACCUAGUCUAUUUUUGGUUUCCAUCGGUGGAAAAGACUUGAGUUCUAGUUAUAGUAAGUCUAGCAGCUGUCUAUUACUAUGUCAGAAGGAAAGAUGAGCUAAGAAGAAUCAAAUGAAAAGACCAGCUUCUAUUAUGGAGCAGAAUGGUCCAGCCAACCAGGCACAGAAAAUGGGAGACGAGGAUUCACGUGAAGGGUGUUUAUUUAUUUGCUUGAAUCUUUUCUAAUGAUUAAUCAAUCACUCGGUUCAAGUGACAAACCUACCUUACGUAUCAACUAAGUAGUCAUGGUUUCAAGAAUUUCUUUGAUGGGAGAAAACUAGUUGAGUGUACCAAGUUUCAGUGUCCGAACAUGUUGAUCAAAUGGAGAAGCAAAUAGCCAUCAUCGGAGCUGGUAUUAGCGGCCUCCUCGCAUGCAAGUACACCCUCUCAAAGGGUUUCCAUCCGACAGUUUUCGAGUCCCAAAGCAGCAUCGGAGGAGUUCGGACCACAGCACUUGAGAGGACAAAACUUCAGACCUCAAAACAAUUUUAUCAGUUCUCAGAUUUUCCAUGGCAAUCUUCAGUCGCAGAAGAGUUCCCUAGCUAGCAUCAAGUGCUGGAGUAUAUUGAAGCUUAUGCCCAUCAUUUUGACUUGCUUCGGCAUGUCAGAUUCAAUGCCAAAGUCGUUAGCAUUGACUUCGAAGGGCCAACGGAUGAAGAGAUGCGAUCUUGGCAUCUCUGGGGUGGGACUGAUGAGCCCUUCAGCUCCAAAGGAAAGUGGAAUGUUGUAGUACAGGACACCCAGAAUCAUUCUACAGAGGUAUGUAAUUAAGUUUAUAAUCAUAAAGCUCAACAAGAACAAAGUGAACGAGAAGAAAAGAUAAUGUCCUGACUUGGAUGAAUUUUCUUUUAAAUGUGAAAUUCAGGUUUACCAGGUGGACUUUGUAGUCCUUGGCCUAGGCCGGUUCAGCGGCAUUCCAAACAUUCCAUCGUUUCCUCCAGGAAAAGGGCCAGAAACCUUUCACGGUGAGGAAAUACACUCCAUGGAUUAUGCUGCCAUGGAUUACAAACUUGCUGCUAAAUGCAACAAAGGGAAGCGAAUUGUUGUCGUUGGACUCCAGAAAUCUGCCUUGGACAUCGCAAUGGAAUGUUCUACAGCAAAUGGUAAGAUUACAAAAUUUCUUUAGUUCUAAGAUGUAUGCAAAACUCACAGGCUGGAUUUUCUGACAUGAAGUUUCAAUCUAUCCUGUUUCCAGGCGUAGAACUUCCUUGUACAGUAUUAUACAAGACCGAACGUUGGGGCGUCCCCAAUUACCUUCCAUGGGGAAUGCCGCUAGCUUAUUUAUACCUCAAUCGCUUCUCAGAGCUUUUGGUUCAUAAGCCUGGUGAAGGCUUCCUCCUUAGUUCAUUGGCAACAAUUCUUUCACCUCUGGUAACUAAUAAAAUUUCUUAUCUAAAGCACAUCUUGAGCACCUUCAGGAAAUUAACUGCAGCAGACUGAAAUCGGUUCUAUUAACUGCAGCGAACUGAAAUCGGUUCUUUGCUAUUAAACAGAGAUGGGUAUUCUCAAAAUUCGUCGAGAGUUAUAUCAAAUGGAAACCUGCCUUUGGCAAAGUUUGCGAUGGUACCAAAGCACAGCUUUCAUAAAGAAAUUAGCUCCUGUUUGACCUCAACAGUGCCAAAAAACUUCUAUGACAGAGUUGAGGAAGGAAGCAUCUUACCGAAGAAGACCCAAAAUAUAAGCUUCAUGAAGAAGGAUAAUGGUAGAUGACGAAGAUUCACCUCUAAAGACAGAUUUGGUGAUACUGGCUACUGGAUUCAGGAGAGAUAAAAAGCUUAGAGACAUUUUUGCGUCCCCCACUUUUCGAGACUGCAUGGCUGGCUCACCUGAAGCAAGAGUUCCAAUCUACGGGUUGAGAAUCUUAACCAGCUACAUGUUCAAACCAUAGUUUCAUCAAAUUAAACCAGUAACCAGAAAAAGAAUAAAGACUAUGAGAACUAACUCAUAUCUCUUCAAACAAGAUGGAUUUCUAGGAGCAAUGAAGCUUGAUGAUAGGAAAAUGGCAAGAAAAAGGCUCACGGGGUACUAAGAGAAAUGGAGUAGCCAAGCACUUUUCCCUCAAGGGUGGUGGACAAGACACAGUGAAAAUGAGCUUCCAUCCCCCUUUUUCUUUGUUAUGGGAGAUCUCUUGAGGCAAGAGCCUUGAAAUGGCUUUCAUUUCCCAUUUUUUCAUGCAUGGGCGGAUUGGCCAAUGUCACCGUCCUUUUCUAUUUUUUUUAAUCACAUGUCAUUCUAUGUAAUUUCUUAUUUUGUUAUUAACGUUGCUUUUCAAUGGUGGCACGUGCAUGCAAUGUUUCAUUAUCCAUUCUUUUAUCUUUGAUUAGACUGCCUUGCCUAUGCAUUGGUCCACAUGAUAUUUUUUUUGUUUAUUUCAUUUUCAUUUCAUUUUACAUGCAUUUCAUUUUCAUUUCCUUUUAAUGUCACUUUAUCAUCAAAUAAUAUUUCAUACAUAUUUCCUUUGCUAAUAGCCUUUGCCACCCCAUGCACCAAUAAAAUUUCAUGCAUUUAUUUCUUAUUUGGCCUCCCUCACAACCAAUAGAAUUUCAUGCACUCUUUAAUUUAUUUCUUUUAUUCUUAAUCCUUUUUCUACUAGCAUGUGUACCUACUCAAAUUUCAUGCAUGUCUUUUUUUUAAUAAAAUAUUAUUUAAUUUUUUUCUCUUUGUCAUCUUUUAUAUGAUGGGGGUCUCAUAUGUCCCUCACUAAACUUUAUCUUUACGUACAAUUAUUUAUAUGUAACUGUAACUUCACAUUAUAGGAAUCUUAUAUGUCUUUCAUUAAAAAUUAUCUUUUAGAGGGAAAAAAGUCUGAUGGUUCUAGAACUACUUAAAAGUAUUAUGGUCACCGACAAGAUUAAAAGAAAUUUUUCUUAAUUAACCAUGCAUGUGUGCAUGACUUAUUUUAUUAUAUAUUAAAAUACCCAUUUAAUGAUUCUUAACAGGGGUACUUAACAUUUGCCUUGCUAGUAUCAGUAGCUAGCACUACUGGCACUGCUCCAGAGCAGAGUUAUUUAAUAUUUUAUUAACCAAAAAUCAAAGUUAAAGUUCUGCAUUGAAUAAAGUGAUUAAAGGAAAGUAGAUUCAAUUGACCUUGGAUCUUGCAAAAUAAAAAAAUCGAUUUCUUUUCCAAUGCAAGAUUCACUGAAGGACACAAAAGGAAUUAUGCUAGAAAGAAUUACCACUAAUAAUCUGAGUUAUAUAUUUCAAUGCAUAGAAAGUAAUAAAAUAUAUAUUUAUAUAUAUAUACUAAGUAGUGUGUGUAUAUAUAUAUAUAAUACUAUUUAUAAUGAAAAUGACGGAUGCAGCCCCAGUUAUGCUCCUGUUGGUGACUUUAUCUUCUAUUUUUUAAUGGCAAAAAGGGGUUAAUCAAAAUCAAGAAGAUCAAAGACUUGGAGCACCAGUUUGAGGGGGAUGAUAGUUUAUUUAUUUGAUUCCUGAGGAUCUUAGGCAGAGUGCUAUAUAGAGAGAGAGGCAAAAAGGCAGGCUAUAUCGAUAGAGUAUCAGACAAUUUGGCAAUGGAGAGGCAGGUGGCAAUCGUUGGAGCUGGAAUAAGUGGCCUCCUUGCCUGUAAGUACACCUUGUCGAAAGGUUUCCAUCCAGUUGUUUUCGAGUCCCAAAGGAGCGUUGGAGGGGUAUGGACCCAAACGCUGGAGACUACAAGGCUCCAAACCCCCAAGUCAGUUUAUCAGUUCUCAGAUUUUCCUUGGCCAUCUUCAGUCACAGAUG
rnacentral:lncRNA from 1 species